AUAAGAAUGCCAUUUGUAAGGAAAUAAUGUAAACAAUUGUCAAAAAUGAUGUUUUACCUAGUUGUGUAAAGUUUAAACACUCGCACGAUGUUGCAAAUGCAUCAAAACGAAGACAUGUAACAGCUUUUAAAAAAUGUGAACUUUCUGUAGAGUAGAAUAGCUGCAGACCAUGAAGUUGAGAUGUGGAGAGAUGUUGGUUUUGGUGUUUGAGGGAAACAUAGCAUAUGGGAGUCUUGGAGAAUGUUUUAUAAUGUGAAGUAACUGAAGCAGAAUGGCUACAAACCAUGGACUUCAGAAAUAAAGAGAUGCAGGUCUUUAUGCUACAUGGUAUGUGAGGGAACCAUAGUGGAUAUUUUGUUUCAUGGCAGUCAUAGAAAACGUUUGUUAAGAUUGCUUCAGGGAACGUUGCUCCUGUAAGAUCCUGGGCUACUACAACUUGUUGAUGACAUCGAAAGAAACCUCUGGGAAAUCCACAAACUGAUUGUAAGAAAAUUGUCUCAGAUUUUAGCAAGUGAAAUGUAUGAAGAAAGUAGAAUAGCUGCAGACCAUGAAGUUCAGAUGUAAAGAAAUCCAGUUCUUUAUUCUACAGUUGUUGUGUAUGAAGGAAACACAGUUAUGGGAGUCUUGGAAAACAUUUGAUAAUGUGAAGUAACAACUACAGACCAUGGACUUCAGAAAUAAGGAACUGCAGAUCUUUAUACUACAUGGUGUAUGAGGGAAACAUAGUGGAUUUUUGGAUUUCAUGGCAGUCAUAUUAAACAUUUAUUAAGUCUAUAGGUUUUUGUUACAUCUGCAAGUCUGUCAGUCAGUCUCUUUCUUGUUGAGUCAGCAAGUUAGCGGAACAUGCAUGGAUUCUCCGGUAACUUGGGAUGGAUUCUCCGGUAACUUGGGAUGGAUUUUUACCAUUACAGAGAGACAGACUUCAGAUAUGAACUUCUUCAGGGUGACAUUUGAUGAACUUUGUAGAAGACUGGUUUAAAAGCAUUUUCCUUGAGGGUUGUCGGACUGAGAAGUAUCCUGAUCCUGUUCCAGCAGACACAGUCAAUUUUAACAAAUACACAACUGCCAGGCAAUGGCCAAAAGGUCAUAUGGCUACAGACCCACUGAAGAAAAGAAGAAGACUUUCAUCUGAAAUUGUUGUUAGAACCAAAUUUAUCAAACAUUGAAUGGGUCUGUAGAAAUACCAACAUCGGAGCCAGCUUCAAGCAGUAUAGGUACAUCAAAAGAGCUAUCAUCACUGAAUGUGCUGGCCUUAGCAGCAGAAAAUAAAGUUCUUCAGCAGCAGUUAGCCAAGCAGGUGCUGCUAAAUGAAGAACUAUGUAGAGACAACUCUUCUUUAAAGGACAAGAACAAGCAAAAAGAAGAAAAUCCACAAAAAAAUGCAAAGAUUUUCAAUGCCGAAACUGUAAGUGACAGUCAGAUGAAAGUUAACUUUAGAUUAUAGAUAUUACACAGGAACAUUGUACAGUUCAUGAAUAUUUUCAAGUUUGUGGUGCCUUACAAAUAUGCAUGUCCAGUCAGUAUGGAGCAUCAAGGAUUUGUGAGACUAGAGGAUCAGUUUCUACUAGCACUUGUGUAAUAAAGGUUAAGCUUUUCACAUUUCAAACCAUUGGAUGCAGAUGCACUUCUUCGAACAUGGAUUAAGUAUACGUACUUUAGAUUUGGUUCUGUUCCAGUCUGGCCAUGAAGACUUCCCUGACACUUUCAUUAUGCUGGAUGGUACGGAAAUUAAGAUGGAACAACCAGGUUCACUCAGUUUUCAAAGCCAAUGUUAUUUAGACUAUAGGUCAGUGACAACAUUAAAAGGUCUUGUAGGAAUCAGCCCGAGAAUAUCAUUUACCUUCAUAUCCAUGUUUUUCUCUGGAUCUAUCUCAGAUGAGGAUAUUACAGCUAAAAGUGGAUUGCUAGCUUUACUUCAGCAAUUAACUGAUUACAGAAAAUGGAAAAAGGGAGACAGUGUUAUCGUUGAUAAAGGGUUUCAUAUAUUCAGGAUGAAUUAAAAAAAACACUUUCACAGAUCGAUGGCUUAGAGCUGUAUAAUAGAAAUAGAAGCAGGUAGUUUCGCUCCAAGCCCUUGAAAUGUCAACUGCAGAUGUAGCUUUUACUUAGGAAAUUGUUACGCAAAGAGUACGUUUAGAAAGAGCCAUUUCUUGGGCAAAGAAACUCAAGCUUAUUGACCUCAGUUUAUUUCCAUGUAUGAACCAGAUUUGGUUUUGCUAUUGUUUUCUUACUAAUUUCAUGCCUUGUCUACUAAAAGAGUAACCUGGUAAGCUAAAGCACUGCCAAUAUUUUGGGCAACAUGCUCGGUCAUGACAGUUCAGUUUGGUAGGCAAGCCAAAUAUUCAGUUGGGGUGGACUCGAGCCCUUGAAGAUGCUGCGUAUCAGUCUCGCAUAACUGUACUUUUUGGAAACAAGAUCAGUAUACUGUAAACCUUUACAUACUAAGAUAAACAUUACAAUUUAAUUGAAACGAUUAUUUUUAGCAUUUAACAAGAUAGAAGAAUGUUUUGUUUCUGUAACGUUCAUUUUUUGUGUAUGCUUCAUCAAGUAGUAGCUAAUUGAUAUUAAUGUUUCACAGAAUAAAGUAUUUUUCAGUUAAA